rnacentral:rRNA from 1 species
CGGACGGGUGAGUAACACGUGGGUAAUCUGCCCUCGAGCGGGGAAUAACCAGUCGAAAGAUUGGCUAAUACCGCAUAAGACCACAGUCUCUGCGGAGAAAGGGGUCAAAGGCUUCGGCCACUCGAGGAUGAGCCUGCGCCCGAUUAGUUAGUUGGUGAGGUAAUGGCUCACCAAGACGAUGAUCGGUAGCUGGUCUGAGAGGAUGAUCAGCCACAUUGGGACUGAGACACGGCCCAAACUCCUACGGGAGGCAGCAGUAGGGAAUAUUGCGCAAUGGAGGAAACUCUGACGCAGCGACGCCGCGUGAGUGAUGAAGGCUUUCGGGUUGUAAAGCUCUGUUCUCAGGGAAAAAGAAAGUGAUGGUACCUGAGAAGAAAGGACCGGCUAACUUCGUGCCAGCAGCCGCGGUAAGACGGGGGGUCCAAGCGUUGCUCGGAAUCAUUGGGCGUAAAGGGGGCGUAGGUGGCUUUGUAAGUCAGAAGUGAAAGCCCUGGGCUCAACCCGGGAAGUGCUUUUGAUACUGCGAAGCUUGAAUGUGGUAGAGGAUAGUAGAAUUCCAGGUGUAGUGGUGAAAUACGUAGAUAUCUGGAGGAAUACCUGUGGCGAAGGCGGCUAUCUGGACCAACAUUGACACUGAGGCCCGAAAGCGUGGGGAUCAAACAGGAUUAGAUACCCUGGUAGUCCACGCCGUANACGAUGGAUACUUG